AUAAAAUAAUGAUUAUAUUUGUAUUGUAAGGUAGGUUCAAGCACGAAGAGAAUACAGACAAGUUUUAAACUACGAUAGAAACGUUUUCUUUUGCUAUUCAAUUGUUAAACCCUGUAUGUCAUUUACCUUUCUUUUUUCUUCUUGUAGAAAAUGUUCUUUUAUUAUUUUAUAAUACAAAUACCUGAAGAGUUUUUCAACAUUGAUUGCUGAUGAAAUGGGAGG